GGCAGGUGGAGCCCGGGGACGAGCGCAGCCGGCAGGGUCGCUCCGGCCCGAGGAGCAGAGACGCCCCCUCCUUAGCCACCGCCACCGCGGAGCCUACAGCUGCUGCCGCCAGGUACCAUUCGCAUCCAGGGAAAAAGAAAGAUCUAGCUGCAGCCGUGAGUCAAAGAGCAAAAAUGAGUUGGACAUCCAGAAGCCAGUCGUUCCAGGAACAAAAAAGUUGAGUUUCCUGCCUGUUAUUUCCUUUUUCAAUUAUAUUAUCCAGUCUUAGCCUCUCACCACACUUGCAAACUCUUCCAGGAAUCAAAUGUAAAAGUUUAAAUGUAACUAAUAUCACGUCAAGGAACUGAUUAACAUCCCCAGUGAAAUAAAAUUGAAGAAUUCAGCUGUUGAAUAGAAUCAC